UACAGAGGGUGCAAGCGUUGUCCGGAAUUAUUGGGCGUAAAGAGCUCGUAGGCGGUCUGUCGCGUCGGAUGUGAAAAUCCAGGGCUCAACCCUGGACCUGCAUUCGAUACGGGCAGACUAGAGUUCGGCAGGGGAGACUGGAAUUCCUGGUGUAGCGGUGAAAUGCGCAGAUAUCAGGAGGAACACCGGUGGCGAAGGCGGGUCUCUGGGCCGAUACUGACGCUGAGGAGCGAAAGCGUGGGUAGCAAACAGG
rnacentral:rRNA from 1 species